rnacentral:rRNA from 1 species
CAGCCGUAAACUAUGCGCGUUAGGUGUAUCGGUGACCACGAGUCACCGAGGUGCCGAAGGGAAACCGUGAAACGUGCCGCCUGGGAAGUACGGUCGCAAGGCUGAAACUUAAAGGAAUUAGCGGGGGAGCACCACAACGGGUGGAGCCUGCGGUUUAAUUGGACUCAACGCCGGGAAGCUCACCGGAUAAGACAGCGGAAUGAUUGCCGGGCUGAAGACUCUGCAUGACUAGCUGAGAGGAGGUAGUCGACUAGGUCGGGUACGGUAAC